rnacentral:rRNA from 1 species
UACGGUGGGAGCAAGCGUUGUUCGGAUUUACUGGGCGUAAAGGGCGCGUAGGCGGCGCAACAAGUCACUUGUGAAAUCUCCGGGCUUAACUCGGAAAGGUCAAGUGAUACUGUUGUGCUAGAGUGCGGAAGGGGCAACUGGAAUUCUCGGUGUAGCGGUGAAAUGCGUAGAUAUCGAGAGGAACACCUGCGGCGAAGGCGGGUUGCUGGGCCGACACUGACGCUGCUGCGCGAAAGCCAGGGGAGCGUACGGG